rnacentral:rRNA from 1 species
UACGUAGGCAGCAAGCGUUGUUCGGAGUUACUGGGCGUAAAGGGUGCGUAGGCGGCUUCUUAAGUCUGGUGUGAAAUCUCCCGGCUCAACUGGGAGGGUGCGCCGGAUACUGAGGGGCUAGAGUGUGGGAGAGGAAAGUGGAAUUCCUGGUGUAGCGGUGAAAUGCGUAGAUAUCAGGAGGAACACCGGUGGUGUAAACGGCUUUCUGGACCAUAACUGACGCUGAGGCACGAAAAGCGUGGGGGAGUCAAACAGGA